ACACGUGAUUCAGAGUUUGAUCCUGGCUCAGGAUAAACGCUGGCGGCGUGCAUAACACAUUCAAGUCGAACGAACUGAUACGAAAGCUUGCUUUUGUUGAAAGUUAGUGGCGGACGGGUGAGUAACGCGUGAGCAACCUGCCUAUCUGUGGGGGAAUAACACAUGGAAACGUGUGCUAAUACCGCAUAACACAACCUGAUCGCAUGUUUAGGUUGUCAAAGAUUUAUCGCAGAUAGAUGGGCUCGCGUCUGAUUAGCUAGUUGGUGAGGUAACGGCUCACCAAGGCGACGAUCAGUAGCCGGACUGAGAGGUUGAACGGCCACAUUGGAACUGAGAUACGGUCCAG
rnacentral:rRNA from 1 species